AUUGAACGCUGGCGGCAUGCCUUACACAUGCAAGUCGAACGGCAGCGCGGGAGCAAUCCUGGCGGCGAGUGGCGAACGGGUGAGUAAUAUAUCGGAACGUGCCCAGUAGUGGGGGAUAGCCCGGCGAAAGCCGGAUUAAUACCGCAUACGACCUACGGGUGAAAGGGGGGGAUCGCAAGACCUCUCGCUAUUGGAGCGGCCGAUGUCAGAUUAGGUAGUUGGUGGGGUAAAGGCCUACCAAGCCGACGAUCUGUAGCUGGUCUGAGAGGACGACCAGCCACACUGGGACUGAGACACGGCCCAGACUCCUACGGGAGGCAGCAGUGGGGAAUUUUGGACAAUGGGCGCAAGCCUGAUCCAGCCAUGCCGCGUGCGGGAAGAAGGCCUUCGGGUUGUAAACCGCUUUUGUCAGGGAAGAAAUCUUCUGGGUUAAUACCUCGGGAGGAUGACGGUACCUGAAGAAUAAGCACCGGCUAACUACGUGCCAGCCGCCGCAGUAACAC
rnacentral:rRNA from 1 species